UACAGAGGUCCCAAGCGUUGUUCGGAUUCACUGGGCGUAAAGGGUGCGUAGGUGGUCGGGUAAGUCUGAUGUGAAAUCUCCGAGCUUAACUCGGAAAUGGCAUUGGAUACUAUUCGGCUGGAGGUUUGGAGGGGACUGGAAUUCUCGGUGUAGCAGUGAAAUGCGUAGAUAUCGAGAGGAACACCUGCGGCGAAGGCGGGUUGCUGGGCCGACACUGACGCUGAUGCGCGAAAGCCAGGGGAGCGAACGGG
rnacentral:rRNA from 1 species